rnacentral:rRNA from 1 species
GAUGAACGCUAGCGGCAGGCUUAAUACAUGCAAGUCGAGGGGCAGCACAGGUAGCAAUACUGGGUGGCGACCGGCAAACGGGUGCGGAACACGUACACAACUUACCUUAAGGUGGGGGAUAGCCCAGGGAAACCUGGAUUAAUACCCCAUAAUACAGGGGGCCCGCAUGGGUCGAUUGUUAAAGAUUUAUUGCCUUAAGAUGGGUGUGCGUCUGAUUAGGUAGUUGGUGAGGUAAAGGCUCACCAAGCCAACGAUCAGUAACUGGUGUGAGAGCACGACCAGUCAAACGGGCACUGAGACACGGGCCCGACUCCUACGGGAGGCAGCAGUAAGGAAUAUUGGUCAAUGGACGGAAGUCUGAACCAGCCAUGCCGCGUGAAGGAUGAAGGUCCUCUGGAUUGUAAACUUCUUUUAUAGGGGGCGAAAAAGGGCCUUUUGAGGUCAACUGACGGUACCCUAUGAAUAAGCACCGGCUAACUCCGUGCCAGCCGCCGCCGUAAAAC